rnacentral:tRNA from 1 species
GGGCCCGUAGCAUAAUGGAUAGUGCGGUCGGCUUCGGACCGAUUGGUCGGGGUUCGAAUCCCUGCGGGCUCG